ensembl:miRNA
CAUUCCUGCUGGUUAGGAGUGGAUACUGGAGCAAUUAGGUACAGUUCCAUGCUGACACUGCAGAAGUGG